AUGAAAACUCAUCCGGGUUGUAUGGUUAAGCGACCAAGCGUAUACGGUGGAUGCCUUGGCAGUCAGAGGCGAUGAAGGACGUAGUAACUUGCGAAAAGCGUUGGUGAGCUAGUAACAAGCAUUUGAGCCAGCGAUGUCCGAAUGGGGAAACCCGGCAGCAUAAGCUGUCAUCAAUACGUGAAUACAUAGCGUAUUGAGGCGAACGAGGGGAACUGAAACAUCUAAGUACCCUCAGGAAAAGAAAUCAACCGAGAUUCCCCAAGUAGCGGCGAGCGAACGGGGAUUAGCCCUUAAGUCUUUGGGGUGUUAGUGGAAUGUGUUGGAAAGCACAGCGGCACAGGGUGAUAGCCCCGUACACGUAAACUAACCAGAGAUGAAAACGAGUAAGGCGGCACACGUGACAUGUUGUCUGAAUAUGGGGGGACCAUCCUCCAAGGCUAAAUACUCCUGACUGACCGAUAGUGAACCAGUACCGUGAGGGAAAGGCGAAAAGAACCCCUGUGAGGGGAGUGAAAUAGAACCUGAAACCGUAUACGUACAAGCAGUGGAAGCGGUCCUUGAGACCGUGACUGCGUACCUUUUGUAUAAUGGGUCAGCGACUUACAUUUAGUAGCGAGGUUAAGCGAAUAGCGGAGCCGUAGGGAAACCGAGUGUUAACUGCGCGUUUAGUUGCUAGGUGUAGACCCGAAACCCGGUGAUCUAGCCAUGGGCAGGUUGAAGGUUGAGUAACAUCAACUGGAGGACCGAACCGACUAAUGUUGAAAAAUUAGCGGAUGACUUGUGGCUGGGGGUGAAAGGCCAAUCAAACCGGGAGAUAUCUGGUUCUCCUCGAAAGCUAUUUAGGUAGCGCCUCGGACGAACACCUUUGGGGGUAGAGCACUGUUAAGGCUAGGGGGUCAUCCCGACUUACCAACCCUUUGCAAACUCCGAAUACCAAAGAGUGCUAUCCGGGAGACAGACGGCGGGUGCUAACGUCCGUCGUCAAAAGGGAAACAACCCAGACCGUCAGCUAAGGUCCCAAAGUAAUUGCUAAGUGGGAAACGAUGUGGGAAGGCUUAGACAGCUAGGAUGUUGGCUUAGAAGCAGCCAUCAUUUAAAGAAAGCGUAAUAGCUCACUAGUCGAGUCGGCCUGCGCGGAAGAUGUAACGGGGCUAAGCAAUUCACCGAAGCUACGGGUAUC
rnacentral:rRNA from 1 species